AAGAAAUCCGCCAGCUCCCGCCCUCCUCCCCACGGCACCCCUCUGGCGCCCACGUGACACCGCCCGCCCGCACGUGAUGCCCAGGCCGGGUCUCCGGGGGUUGCCACCCCUCAAGCCAAAAUUUAGCGACGAGAGGAAACCAAAGUCCCCUUCGUCAAGACCAGCCGAAGAAGAUGUAGGCCCCCCUAAGAGACUCCAGAAGUGAGAAGGCUGGAGGGGAAAGUUCAGGGCUAAGGGCGUUAAAAGCGGCUGGACAUCCUCUGACGAUUCCCCACUCUUUCGCUGGCUUCCCCAAGACCUGCCUCGCCUGAAACUGCUGGCUUUCCGACUGGGGCGCGCCCGGAGCAGGGAGGGAGGCGGCCAAGCAAGAGCCUGCGGGCAGGAGGCGGAAAGUAAAGCCUUGUCGGUUAAUUAACUUUAAGCCUGGGGUCGCUUCUCCCUCCUCCCCCGAAAAAAAUGUGGUUCUCACUGAGACACAAAUAAAACCAAAUUAAACACUCCAGGAGAAUACGCGCCACCAGAAACGUGGUAAUUACAUCUCCGAGGUGAUGCCGCCCCAGAAAACCAGGCGCUGAAACCCUCGGCUUCGUGCUCCCUCCCCGCCACACGGCCACACCUCGCCCCACCGGGCUUCGCUGAUGCGGCGAUGGGGCUUGACUACGGAUGAAGUUUAGAGAAAAUCAAGAGAAAUGAAAAGGACUAUGGCUCCUCGGUCUCUAGCUGUGCCGCUGAUGUGGGGAAAAAGACGGAGCACUUCAUUAUACCAAAGGAAAAUGGAAAAUGGCCCCUCAGCCCGGUCGGAAGCCAGGGCUCCGCUUGGGACUCUGUUUUCAAAGGGACGGUUGUAAUGGCGAGACUCCCAGAGCCACUCUGCCUUCAGCUUCCUCUACGGACUGAGUUCCAGGCUAAGUUCAACUGUGAAAUCCUGCUUUUCAAAGGCUCCAACAUAUAAAGGAGAUUUUCAGUGUGCCUUCUCACUGAAAGUGUGAGUGUAUGUGUGUGUGUGUGUGGUGUACGUAUGCAUGCCUAACCUGUGGAUUUGGGACUGUGUGCAGGUUCCAUGCACUGUUCCAGCAGAUGCCUUGGUGGACUCAACACAAACGUGUUCAUGAAGAUACCCAGCCCUCCGCGUAAAUCCUUUAUAUGCAAAUAAAGAUGUCUACUGGC
rnacentral:lncRNA from 1 species